GACGAACGCUGGCGGCGUGCUUAACACAUGCAAGUCGAGCGGUAAGGCUCCUUCGGGAGUACACGAGCGGCGAACGGGUGAGUAACACGUGAGCAAUCUGCCCUUCACUUUGGGAUAACCCCGGGAAACCGGGGCUAAUACCGAAUGCGACCACCGACGGCAUCGUCUGGUGGUGGAAAGUUCCGGCGGUGAAGGAUGAGCUCGCGGCCUAUCAGCUAGUUGGUGGGGUAACGGCCCACCAAGGCAUUGACGGGUAGCCGGCCUGAGAGGGUGACCGGCCACACUGGGACUGAGACACGGCCCAGACUCCUACGGGAGGCAGCAGUGGGGAAUAUUGGACAAUGGGCGAAAGCCUGAUCCAGCAACGCCGCGUGAGGGAUGACGGCCUUCGGGUUGUAAACCUCUUUCAGCAGGGACGAAGCGAAAGUGACUUUACCUGCAGAAGAAGCACCGGCCAACUACGUGCCAGCCGCCGCCGUAACAC
rnacentral:rRNA from 1 species